ACUGACAUAGAUUGACACAGGGGGAUAGUGACAAGAAAUAACAAUACAGGGCUUUCGUCUUGUAAUUGGAAUGAUGGUGAUGUACAACCUCACCAGAGUACCAAUUGGAGGGCAAGUCUGGUGCCAGCAGCCGCGGUAAUUCCAGCUCCAAUAGCGUAUAUUAAACUUGUUGCAGUUAAAAAGCUUGUAGUUGUAUUUCAGCCUCGCGUUUUUUCCCUUGUUUUGGGUCUUUUCGCUGGCUUUUUUUUUACUUUGAGAAAAUUAGAGUGUUUCAAGCAGACUUUUGUCUUGAAUACUUCAGCAUGGAAUAAUAGAGUAGGACCUUGGUUCUAUUUUGUUGGUUUUGAGCCUUGGUAAUGGUAAUAGGAACGGUAGUCAAA
rnacentral:rRNA from 1 species